AUACGUAGGGGGCUAGCGUUAUCCGGAAUUACUGGGCGUUAAAGCGUACGUAGGUGGUUUAUCAAGCGUGGGGUUUAAGGCUAUGGCUCAACCAUAGUCAGCCCUGCGAACUGGUGAACUAGAGUACAGGAGGGGAAAGCGGAAUUCCUAGUGUAGCGGUGAAAUGCGUAGAUAUUAGGAGGAACACCGGUGGCGAAGGCGGCUUUCUGGACUGAAACUGACACUGAGGUACGAAAGCGUGGGUAGC
rnacentral:rRNA from 1 species